CACUUACGUAUAUCACUUCCUCGCUCUCAAAUGGCUCUUCGUAGCGAGGCGCAGGGGCGGGUUGCUCGUACCGCUGCUGAGGGGCGCACAUAGCCAGGCCCACGAGGCACGCCAACACGAUGACCUGUGGGAUGACAAUGGUUGCGUUCCGUCGACGUCCCCGUGAGGUUACUGAUGGAAAGGGAAAGUGGAGAGGAGGCGGCUGCUGCUGCGGCGGCAGCGUGUGUAGAUGUUUUAUGUCUACUUUGUGUUGCGUCUCCCGUUUGUUUGGCUGCCUGUCUUUUUAGUUCUCCACGAGCUGCGCAGUGUCGAUCAGUGUAAUGAAAGGAGAUGGCAAGAUGAAGAGAAGAGCAAAGAUGAUCAAGCAGUGCAGUGCCAUGUCUUCCUGAACACCAUGGAGAUGCAACACCAGCUGGUUGAAGGAUGAGGACCGUGUGAGGCUGUGUAGUCACUGUGGUGAUUAACUGUCAUCAGACUCCGUAGAAGAAAGAUUAUGCUGAAGAACAGCAGCUCAACAUUACAGCAGAGAAAAGCACCAAAAAGAGGAAACAACAGGAGGGACAGAACACUAUGAAUCGGGUGACCUCCAAAGUACUGCAAACUUUGUCAAUGUUGGUAUGUUGAAUCCCAACACAGAUGAUGCCCCUGCCAGCUGAACUUUCCAAUGGCAGGUUACCUCACCUUUCUUGUAUUCAUUAAUGUAUGGGCAUCAUUUUCUUGGGGUCCAACAUACAAGCUAGCAGGAAACUGCUUAAAUUGGAGGUAUAUCAUUCUUUGCAGCCACUACAAGGCUGUUUGUGUAGUUUUUCUUACUUCCCCGGAACAUGUGUGUCAGACUCGGUUUUUGCUGGCUGUGAUGCUGGUAUUUUUUUUUUUUUUUUUUUUUUAUGUAGAAGGGACACUGGCCAAAAGCAGAGCAAAAAAAAAAAAAAAAAAAAAAAAAGCAGAGAUGCCAGUCCCAGAAAAGGAUCCAAAGUGGUGGUCAAAAAUUGAAGGGUGAGAUGCCAGUCCCAGAAAAGGAUCCAAAGUGGUGGUCAAAAAUUGAAGGGUGUCUUGAAACCUCCCUCUUGAAGGAAUUCGUCAUAGGAAGGUGGAAAUACAGAAGCAGGCAGGGAGUUCCAGAGUUUACCAGAGAAAAGGACGAAUGAUUAAGAAUACUGGUUAAUUCUUGCACUAGAGAGAUGGACAGAAUACGAGCGAGAGAAAGAAGAAAGUCUUGUGCAGCGAGGCCACAGGAGGAAGGGAGGCAUGCAGUUAGCAAGGUUAGAAGAGCAGUUUCCAGGAAAACAGCAGUACAAGCAAGCCAGAGAUGUAACACUGCAGUGAUGAGAGAGAGCCUGAAGACAGUCGGUUAUAGGAGAGGAGUUGAGACAAAAAGCUUUUGAUUUCCCGUCUAGAAGAGUGGUACGAGUGGAACAAGCCCCCCAACCCCCCCCAGAUGUGUGAAGCAUACUCCAUACAUGGAUGGAUAAGGCCCUUUUGUACAGAGCAGCUGGGGGUUGAAAAAACCUGGCAUAAACGUCUCAGAAUGCCUAACUUAAGAGAAGCUGUUUUAACUAUAGGUAAGAUGUGAAGUUUCCAGUUCAGAUUAUGAAUAAAACACAGACUGAGGAUGUUCAUUGUAGAAGAGGGGGACAGUUCAGUGUCACUGAAGAAGAGGAUAGUUGUCUGGAAGGUUGUGUCGAGUUGAUUGAUGGAAGAAUUGAGUUUUUGAGGCACUGAACAAUAAAUACCAAAUUUGCUCUGUCCCAAUCAGAAAUCAGGCAUUCUGUGGUUUCCCUGCGUGAAAAGUUUACUUCCUGAAGUGUUGGAAAUCUAUGAAAAGAUGUGGAAAAGUGCAGGGUGGUAUCAUCAGCAUAGGAGUGGAUAGGACAAGAAAUUUGGUUUAGGUUAUUAAUGAUGAAUAAUAAUGUGUAUUGAUUAAUAAUAAGAGUGGAUGACACAACAGAACCCUGAGGAACACCACUUAAUAGAUUUAGGAGUGGAUAGGACAAGCUAUUUUACUUUGGUGGUUAUUGAUGAAUAAUGAGGAGAGUGGGUGACUACAAUUGCCUCAGAAUCCUGAUGAAUACCACUUAGAUUUAGAAUGGUGACUGUCUACCACAGCAACAAUAGAACAGUCAGAAAGGAAAUGAGAUGAAGUUAGAGAGAAGGAUAGAAGCCAUAGGAGGGUAGUUUGGAAAUCAAAGCUUAUGGUAUAUCCAAGGCAACUGCAGAAGUUACACCAAAAUCUGAGAAUGACCAAGAGACACUAAAGAAAGCCAGAUCACCAGUAGAGUGGCCUUGACAGAAACCAUACUGGUGAUCAGAUAGAAGGUUGUGAAGUGACAUAUUUAAGAACCUCCCUGUUAAGGAUAGAUUCCAAAACUUUAAACAAGCAGGAAAUUAAAGCAAUAGGACAGUAGUUUGAGGGAUUAGAACAGUGACCCUUUUCCUAAAUAGUCUGAAUGUAGGCAACCUUCCAGCAAGAAAGAAAGGUAGAGAUGUUUACAGAGCUGAAAGAGUUUGACUAGGUACGGUGCAACAUGGAAGGGACCCCAUCAGGUUCACGAGCAUUCCGAGAGUUUAGGCCAGCAAGGGCAUGGAACGACAUCACUGUGAAAAAUUUUAAUAGGUAGCAUGAAGUAGUCGGAGGGAGGAACAAGUCUUGAAUUGUCCAAGGUAGAGUUUUUAGCAAAGGUUUCAGUGAAGAGUUCAGCUUCAGAGACAGAUGUGAUAGCAGUGGUGCCAUCUGGUUGAAAUAAAAGAGGGAAAGAAGCCAAUCUAUUGGAGAUAUUUUUGGCUAGAUGUCAGAAGUCACAUGGGGAGUGAUCUUGAAAGAUUGACGCUUCAUAUUAAUGAAGGAGUUGUAAAUCCUAGACUCCACAACUCAUUCAUUAUUAAUUUUUAAUUUUCCACGCCUAAGUCUGUGUAUUGUUGCUCUGGAAAAUCUUUAAGUAGGAUGCAUGUUAAGACAAUAAAAUACUGAAAAUAG